rnacentral:rRNA from 1 species
GACGAACGCUGGCGGCGUGCCUAAUACAUGCAAGUAGAACGCCGAAGGAGGAGCUUGCUUCUCUGGAUGAGUUGCGAACGGGUGAGUAACGCGUAGGUAACCUGCCUGGUAGCGGGGGAUAACUAUUGGAAACGAUAGCUAAUACCGCAUAAGAGUAGAUGUUGCAUGACAUUUGCUUAAAAGGUGCAAUUGCAUCACUACCAGAUGGACCUGCGUUGUAUUAGCUAGUUGGUGAGGUAACGGCUCACCAAGGCAACGAUACAUAGCCGACCUGAGAGGGUGAUCGGCCACACUGGGACUGAGACACGGCCCAGACUCCUACGGGAGGCAGCAGUAGGGAAUCUUCGGCAAUGGACGGAAGUCUGACCGAGCAACGCCGCGUGAGUGAAGAAGGUUUUCGGAUCGUAAAGCUCUGUUGUAAGAGAAGAACGAGUGUGAGAGUGGAAAGUUCACA